UACGGAGGGUGCAAGCGUUGCUCGGAAUUACUGGGCGUAAAGCGCGUGUAGGCGGCCGAUUAAGUCUGGUGUGAAAGCCCGGGGCUCACCCCCGGAAGUGCGCUGGAAACUGGUCGGCUAGAGUAUGGGAGAGGAAAGUGGAAUUCCCGGUGUAGCGGUGAAAUGCGCAGAUAUCAGGAGGAACACCGGUGGCGAAGGCGGGUCUCUGGGCAACAACUGACGCUGAGGAGCGAAAGCGUGGGGAGCGAACAGG
rnacentral:rRNA from 1 species